AUGGCUGAGCAGCAACAGAAGAAGCAGCAGCAGCAGGGUGGCGAUGACGAGGUGCUGGAGGUGGAGUGCGCGCUGGACAUGCCGGAGGUGGUGCAGCGGCAGGACUCGCUGUACCGGGACGCCUCCCGGGCCGGCGGCGCCAGCCACCACGGCCAUGAGCGAUGGGGCAAGACGCUGCGCCUCGCGUUCCAGUGCGUCGGCGUGCUCUACGGCGACAUCGGCACGUCGCCUCUGUACGUCUACUCCAGCACCUUCACCGCCGGCGUCCGGCAUACCGACGACCUCCUCGGCGUCCUCUCCCUCAUCAUCUACAGCUUCAUACUCUUCACCAUGGUCAAGUACGUCUACAUCGCCCUCCGCGCCAACGACGAUGGAGACGGCGGUACGUUCGCGCUCUACUCUCUCAUCUCGCGGCACGCCAAGGUGAGCCUGGUGCCGAACCAGCAGGCGGAGGACGAGCUGCACAUCCUGGAGCAGGACGACCCCAAGUCCUUCAGCCGGCGGCGCGCCCUGGCCACGCUGCAGCUGGCCUCCCCGGCGGCGUACCGCGCGCAGCGGGUCAAGGAGCUCCUGGAGACGAGCAAGCCCGUGCGCAUCUCGCUCUUCCUGCUCACCAUCCUCGCCACGGCCAUGGUGAUCAGCGACGCCUGCCUGACGCCGGCCAUCUCCGUGCUGUCCGCCGUCGGGGGGCUCAAGGAGAAGGCGCCACACCUCACCACAGACCAGAUCGUGUGGAUCACGGUGGCCAUCCUGGUGGCGCUCUUCUCGGUGCAGCGCUUCGGCACGGACAAGGUGGGCUACUUCUUCGCGCCGGUCGUCAUCCUCUGGCUGCUCCUCAUCGGCGGCGUCGGCGUGUACAACCUCGUCAAGCACGACAUCGGCGUCCUCCGGGCCUUCAACCCCAAGUAUAUCGCCGACUACUUCCGGCGCAACAAGAAGGACGCGUGGAUCUCCCUCGGCGGCAUCCUCCUCUGCUUCACCGGCACCGAGGCUCUCUUCGCCGACCUCGGCUACUUCAGCAUCCGCUCCAUCCAGCUCAGCUUCGGCUUCGGCCUCGUCCCCUCCGUGCUCCUCGCCUACGCCGGCCAGGCCGCCUUCCUCCGCAAGUACCCGGAAGAGGUGGCCAACACGUUCUACAGGUCCACCCCGACGGUCCUCUUCUGGCCCACCUUCGUCCUGGCCAUCGCCGCCUCCAUCAUCGGCAGCCAGGCCAUGAUCUCCUGCGCCUUCGCCACCAUCUCCCACUCGCAGGCGCUGGGGUGCUUCCCGCGCGUCAAGAUCCUGCACACCUCCAAGCAGUACCAGGGCCAGCUCUACAUCCCGGAGGUCAACUUCCUGCUGGGCUUCGCCGCCUGCGUCGUCACCGUGGCCUUCAAGACCACCGUGGUCAUCGGCGAGGCGCACGGCAUCUGCGUCGUCCUCGUCAUGCUCAUCACUACGCUGCUCCUCACCGUGGUGAUGCUCCUGGUGUGGAGGAUGAACGCGUGGUGCGUCGCGCUCUUCUUCGCCGUCUUCAUGGCGUCCGAGUCCGUCUACCUCUCCUCGGUGCUCUACAAGUUCCUGCACGGAGGGUACAUCCCCGUGGUCAUCUCGGCGGUGCUCAUGGCCGUCAUGAUCGUGUGGCACUACGUGCACGUGAAGCGCUACAAGUACGAACUGGAGCGCACGGUGUCGCCGGACAAGGUGCGGGAGCUGCUGGACGGCCGCGACCUGCGCAAGGUGCCCGGAGUGGGGCUCUUCUACACGGACCUCGUGCAGGGGAUCCCGCCGGUGUUCCCGCACCUCAUCGAGAAGAUCCCGUCCAUCCACGCCGUGCUGCUCUUCGUCUCCGUCAAGCACCUCCCCGUGCCGCACGUGGACAUGUCGGAGCGGUUCCUGUUCCGGCAGGUGGAGCCGAGGGAGCACAAGCUGUACCGGUGCGUGGCGAGGUACGGGUACCGUGACCCGCUGGAGGAGGCCAAGGACUUCGCGGCCAACCUGGUGGAGCGCCUCCAGUACUACAUCCGCGACGUGAACCUGUACGGCGUGGACGUGGACGCCAAGGCCGGCAAGGUGAGCUACCCGAGCUCGCGCUGCGACAGCAUGGCCAGGUCGACCCGGCGCAGCAGCAUGACGAUGACGAUGCAGCAGCACUACUCGUCGGCGUCCUACACGGAGAGCCUUGUGCUGGCGAGGGCAAGGUCGACGUCCUCGGGGGCAACCGGGCGCAUGAACAUGAACGGCAUGAUCAUGAUGCCGUCGGCGUCCUACACGGAGAGGGAGAGGCAGGGGCGGUCCAUCUACGCGGAGGAGAUGAUGACGCCGGCCGAGUCCUUCUCGGAGCUGGCAAUGCAGGUGGUGCCGUCGGGGCGGUACGCGGCGAGCAGCCAGCAGCUGUUCCAGGCGGCGAAGAUGAGCCUGGAAGAGAUGGCCAAGAUCGAGGAGGAGCAGAGGUACAUCGAGAGGGAGAUGGAGAAGGGGGUGGUGUACAUCAUGGGGGAGAACGAGGUGGUGGCGCGGCCUCACUCCUCGCUGCUCAAGAAAGUCAUCGUCAACUACGUCUACGCAUUCCUCAGGAAGAACUGCAGGCAAGGGGAUAAGAUGCUCGCCAUACCAAGAAGCCAGCUGCUCAAGGUCGGAAUGUCUUACGAGAUCUAG
rnacentral:rRNA from 1 species